rnacentral:rRNA from 1 species
UACGUAGGGUGCAAGCGUUAAUCGGAAUUACUGGGCGUAAAGCGCGCGCAGGCGGCUAUCCAAGUCAGUGGUGAAAGCCCGGAGCUCAACUCCGGAACUGCCAUUGAAACUGUUUAGCUUGAGUAUGAGAGAGGUGAGUGGAAUUCCCAGUGUAGAGGUGAAAAUUCGUAGAUAUUGGGAAGAACACCGGUGGCGAAGGCGGCUCACUGGCUCAUUACUGACGCUCAGGCGCGACAGCGUGGGGGAU